AUUGAACGCUGGCGGCAGGCCUAACACAUGCAAGUCGAGCGAGCGGCGGACGGGUGAGUAAUGUCUGGGAAACUGCCUGAUGGAGGGGGAUAACUACUGGAAACGGUAGCUAAUACCGCAUACCAUCAGAUGUGCCCAGAUGGUGUUAGCUGGUUGGUGGGGUAACGGCUCACCUAGGCGACGAUCCCUAGCUGGUCUGAGAGGCGGACCAGGCACACGGGAACUGGGCAAGGGUCCAGACGCCUACGGGAGUCAGCAGUGGGGAGUAUUGCACAAUGGGGGAAAGCCUGAUGCAGCCAUGCCGCGGGUGGGAAGAAGGCCUUCGGGUUGUAAAGCACUGUCAGCGGGGAGGCGUUACCCGCAGAAGAAGCACCGGCUAACUCCGUGCCAGCAGCCGCGGUAAUAC
rnacentral:rRNA from 1 species